rnacentral:tRNA from 1 species
GGACAGAUGGCCGAGUGGUUUAUGGCUGCAGUCUUGAAAACUGCCGUGCCUGCAAAGGCACCGUGGGUUCGAAUCCCACUCUGUCCG